GAUAAAAAAAGACCCAAAACUAUUCCAAUUGUUUUGGGUCUAGGGGAAUGGCUCUGAUUAAAGAGCCGUGCGCUACUGGUGAGAAUUUACUCUCUGGCUAAUAGUGUAGCCGAUGUCG
rnacentral:sRNA from 1 species